CUGCAGCAGCUAACAUCCCAGAACAAACUGCCCUCAGAAAUGCUUACUCAGCUCAUGGAGUAAUUCAGCUAUGAGUGGGAGUUCUCACGUUUGGCAAAUGGAAGCUUCCUUACGUUUCCAUUUUGCACGAGAGUAUACACCUCCUGGUAUCAAGUACACCAUAGACCAUAUCAUCUGAUGUACUGCAAUUGGCGCUUAUAACGAAAGGGCAGCUAAAGGUUUAGCAGAAGACUUGCAUGCUGUCUUCAAGUUCGUUUUUCAGAAUUCAUGUAUAUUCAACAUCAAACAGGUAUGGAGGACUUGUCUAACCACUUAAGGCCUAGCAUACACCAGCACAUUAUUAACAACACAGGGCUGGGAAAAACCUUUUGAG